rnacentral:rRNA from 1 species
GAUGAACGCUAGCGGCAGGCUUAACACAUGCAAGUCGAGGGGUAUUUAUCUUCGGAUAGAGAGACCGGCGCACGGGUGCGUAACGCGUAUGCAAUCUACCUUUUACAGAGGGAUAGCCCAGAGAAAUUUGGAUUAAUACCUCAUAGUAUAAUGACCUGGCAUCAGGAUGUUAUUAAAGUCACAACGGUAAAGAUGAGCAUGCGUCCCAUUAGCUAGUUGGUAAGGUAACGGCUUACCAAGGCUACGAUGGGUAGGGUCCUGAGAGGGAGAUCCCCCACACUGGUACUGAGACACGGACCAGACUCCUACGGGAGGCAGCAGUGAGGAAUAUUGGACAAUGGGCGCAAGCCUGAUCCAGCCAUGCCGCGUGCAGGAUGACGGUCCU